ACAGAGAAACAAACAGACUUUCAGAGCAUCAGUUAAGAGUUUGUCACUGAAGACUUGGCGCCCUGUUGGCUGUGGUUGCUACUUGGAUGGGUCACUGCACACAAUUCCCAUAGCUAUUAGCUUUUUCUUCUUCUACAAUGUGUUACAAUGCAUUUGAUUUGUUUGUAGCUGCAAGUCAUGACAAGGAGAGCAAAGAGGAAACAACUCCUGCUGAAAGUGAUGACAACUCAAGUGAUUACUUUGCUGAUGAUGAAACGUCUUCUUGUGGAUCGUUUGAACACGAUGAUGAGUUCACCUCCAAUCCAGAAGGAAAGGAUGCAGCAGAGAAAGGCUUUUAAACCUAAAGAAAUCCAGUUCCAUAUGACAAAGAGCUUCAUUGUCUCUCAAGGGAACUGGCAUGAGGGUACAUGGAUACAUUUUGAAAAAACUCGGACCGGCCUUGGGGAUACCAAAUUGCAAGUAUGGUGUCCGCAAAGGCUUUAUCUGAUAUAACUGUGUGCCAUGAAAAAAUUCGUACUUUCAAAAUUAAAUUAUUACUCCAUUUUCAUAACUUAUUUGGUAUAGCCAUGUGAAUAUGCUUAUUGUUAACGAGAUCUUUAGGUUAAAUUUAGUAUUUCUUUGUUUUAUUUACAACCAAUUUUUUUGGUAUGCCGAACGUUUGCUUUUGUACUUCCAAAAUGCCCCAAACUGAAUGCGGGCUAGACGCUAAGCUUGGGGGAAAUGUAACCUAAGAAUUGACGUCUCCCAGUUAUGCACUCGUCUCUUUUGAAUUGUUGUUCAAGGAUUUGGUUCCAAAACAAGUUUCUAAGUUUUUGUCAAGCGAGCCUAAAGUUAGUUUUAUCCUCCACUUAAUAGGGAGCUUAAGCAACCACGAAGACGGCAACAAAAACCCCACAAAUUUGCAUAUUUGACAAUGAAAAACAGUG